rnacentral:tRNA from 1 species
AUUAUUUUGGCAGAUUAGUGCAUUAAAUUUAGAAUUUAAUUAUAUAGUUUAUACUAUAAAUAAUA